rnacentral:rRNA from 1 species
AGUCGCACGAGAAAGCGGGAGCAAUCUCGCAAGUAAAGUGGCGUACGGGUGAGUAACACGUGGAUCAUCUGCCCUGGAGUGGGGAAUAACGCUGGGAAACCGGCGCUAAUACCGCAUAUUCCCGAGAGGGGAAAGCAGCAAUGCGCUCGAGGAGGAGUCCGCGGCCGAUUAGCUAGUUGGCAGGGUAAAAGCCUACCAAGGCUAUGAUCGGUAGCCGGCCUGAGAGGGCGCACGGCCACACUGGCACUGAAACACGGGCCAGACUCCUACGGGAGGCAGCAGUGGGGAAUCUUGCACAAUGGGGGAAACCCUGAUGCAGCGACGCCGCGUGAGCGAUGAAGCCCUUCGGGGUGUAAAGCUCUUUCGGCAGGGAAGAUUAUGACGGUACCUGCAGAAGCAGCUGCGGCUAACUACGUGCCAGCAGCCGCGGUAAUACGUAGGCAGCAAGCGUUGUUCGGAGUUACUGGGCGUAAAGGGUGUGUAGGUGGCGCGCUAAGUUCCGUGUGAAAUCUCCCGGCUCAACCGGGAGGGUGCGCGGAAAACUGGCGGGCUAGAGUGCGGGAUGGGAGAGUAGAAUUCCUGGUGUAGCGGUGAAAUGCGUAGAUAUCAGGAGGAAUACCGGUGGUGUAGACGGCUCUCUGGACCGUAACUGACACUGAAACACGAAAGCGUGGGUAGCAAACAGGAUUAGAUACCCCGGUAGUCCACGCCCUAAACGAUGCAUAUUUUGGUGUAGGUCAUUCAGUUGAUCUGUGCCGGA